rnacentral:lncRNA from 1 species
AGGGAAGGGCACCAUAACCAUCAUCAGGACUAGAGGCUAGGCUUAGGCUCACUGACUCUAGUUUUUCAACAAGAAGAAGGAGAUGAUGCUGGAGCGAAUGGGUUUUAGAGGAAGUGGACAAAUCUUCUCAUGAUCACCUAGUACUACAGUAGUUCUUGUAAAUACAUAGUAGGUCUUCUUCUAACCUCUCUGAAGAAAAUAAGAAGCAGCCUAGCAUUGCAGUGCGUUUUGUUCGUGGGAAUUAGUGAGGGGAAACGGGGGUUUUGAUCUCAAACCAGACACUGGGUAUCGGUCUAGGAGCCGGCCAUGCAUCCAAAGUUGUCCCCUAAAUAUCCGUAC